GAUGUGGGAGACACAAGAAGAUUCUUAUUUAGUAUUAUUUAUGUUUGCAAGCCAAUUGUAUUUUUAUAUUUUAGGUUCUAUUAGUUUAGUGGGCUAUUAGUAUUUUAAUUUAGAAGUAAGGUUAUUUUUGUAAUAAGGCAACUAGGGUUUCCUAGCCAAUUAGAACUAGGGUUUAGUAAUCCUUUAUAAGCAACCUAUUGUACUCCUUGAGGAGAUAGUUGAUAUUUUGACGAAUGAAAACAAUGGUCGUUUGGUCUUUCUUUGGUCUGGUGCUGACUCCAGGUCUACCCUAGGUGCUGACUCCUAGUGGUUUCCCCGCUUGGUGCUGACUCCAAGCAAGGCCUAGGUGCUGACUCCUAGGUCAUAUCUUUUA